GAUGAAGAACGUAGCGAAAUGCGAUAAGUAAUGUGAAUUGCAGAAUUCAGUGAAUCAUCGAAUCUUUGAACGCACAUUGCGCCCGCCGGCACUCCGGCGGGCAUGCCUGUCCGAGCGUCAUUUCAACCCUCAGGACCCCCUUUCGGGGGGGACCUGGUGCUGGGGAUCAGCGGCCUCCGGGCCCCUGUCCCCCAAAUUGAGUGGCGGUCGCGCUGCAGCCUCCCCUGCGUAGUAGCACACCUCGCACCGGAGAGCGGCUCGGCCACGCCGUGAAACCCCCAAUUUUUUAAGGUUGACCUCGGAUCAGGUAGGAAUACCCGCUGAACUUAAGCAUAUCAAUAAGCGGAGGA
rnacentral:misc_RNA from 1 species